rnacentral:lncRNA from 1 species
CCUUUGUCCUCCUUGUGGUCAGCUGGUUAGGGAGGAUGUUUCUCACGACCCAAAUCCCAGUGAAAUAUUUCACUUAGACCAAGGUCUGCAAUGUAACGGGGAGCUUACAAAAUGAUGCAGUUUCGGCUAACAUUAUUGCCUUUUACUUUACUAUAAAAGAAAGUGGGGCAUUGUUGGUUAUCUGGCUGUUUCCUGCUGAAUAAGGGCACUGUAAUUAGGGUUGGGUUUUGAAGCAGUGGGUGUUUGACUUCAGAGUUGUCUUCCUGGAGGGGCUGACACCAGACUUGGCGGAGGAGAAAGACAGUAUCAAUUGUUUCUGGAUGGCUGCCUGGACAAGGGAAUUCAUCUUUUGAGAGAUAAAGUGGAAUAUGAAGGAAGCAUCUGCGAGUUGGAUACAUGGAGUGCAGCUUCAGCAGAGAGGGGAGAGAUUGAGACAAGGUCUUACUUCAUCACCCAGCUUGGAGUUCAGUGGCAUAAUUGCAGCUCACUGCAACCUUCACCUUCCAGGUUCAAGUGGUCUUCCCACCUCAGGCUCCCAAAUAUCUGGGACCACAGGUAUGUACCACUAUGCCCUGCUAUAGAGAUGAAAUCUUACUAUGCUUCUCAGGCUGGUCUCAAACUCCCAGGUUCAAGCCGUCCUCCUGUCUUGGCCUCCCAAAGUGCUGGGAUUAGAGGUGUGAGCCAUUGCAAUCAACCUUCAAUUCCUUUUUAUUUCAUCUUCUAA